rnacentral:lncRNA from 1 species
GGAGCAUGUUAGGGGAGGAGACGAAGUCAGUGAGUGCUCGGGCUCUAGACUGAAAGGGACUUGACUCUGAACCCAGUCCUGAAGCCUUAGAUGUGAUGGAAAAUAUAUAUGUUAGAGCAAAAAUUGAAAAUAUGGAUUUUUAAGGUAAAUAAGGAGGUGUUUGCCGUGCUGCACUGCCGUGUAAGGACCACGUUCCCUGGAGUUUGGAUAUGCUAGUGCCCGUGGAGCAAUAAACCAGCAUUGUGAGUUGCA